rnacentral:rRNA from 1 species
CCUACGGGUGGCUGCAGUGGGGAAUAUUGCACAAUGGGGGAAACCCUGAUGCAGCAACGCCGCGUGAGCGAAGAAGGCCUUCGGGUCGUAAAGCUCUGUCCUAAGGGACGCAGCAUGACGGUACCUUUGGAGGAAGCCCCGGCUAACUAGGUGCCAGCUGCCGCGGUAAUACGUAGGGGGCGGGCGUUAUCCGGAAUCACUGGGCGUAAAGGGUGCGUAGUCGGCCGAUUAAGCCAGGGGUGAAAGGCUACGGCUCAACCGUAUUAAGCCCUUGGAACUGUUUUGCAUGGGUGCCGGAGAGGAGAGUGGAAUUCCUAGAGUAGCGGUUAAAGGCGUAGGUAUGAGGAGGAACACCGGAGGCGAAGGCGACUCUCUGGACGGUAACUGACGCUGAGGCACGAAAGCGUGGGGAGCAAACAGGAUUAGAUACCCGAGUAGCC